AUCACAUAAAUUUCCAAUCACAACUUGCCACAUCAUCACACUCUUUUCGUCAAAAACUUUCUCGUUGUGUGGGAACUGGGAAUCAUCCGCGAGGCGUUGUAUAACAUUGUGAAUGCACUCACAGAGGAUCUAAGCUCCAUUGCUGACAGAGGCACACAAUUCCCCUGUUUUAUCUCUUCAACCGUUUCUCCCAUUAAACCCACUUUAUAUCCCAUUAGCUGCACACUAUCCCACUUAAAUACGCAAUGAAUUCAAGAAUUUCAGGUGAAAGUUCUUGAAAACAGAAAGUGACAACAAAAGGAGAGGAAAAAAGAGCCAUAGCCAUGCUAUCGGAGGAUAUUGAAAGCAGUGGAGAGAAGAGUAAGGGAAACAAUAGUAAUUCAUCAGUAACCUAUGCAGUUGAAGAUAGAAAGACCCAAUGGACAUCCUGGUUGAUCCCACUUUUUGUUGUGGCUAAUGUUGCGAUGUUUGUGAUCGAGAUGUAUGUGAAUGAUUGCCCAAAACAUAUAAGGAAUCGGGGGUUUGUUCCUGUUCAUGAAAGAAAAUGUGUUGCUAGGUUUCUUGGGCGGUUUUCUUUCCAGCCCUUGAGGGAGAAUCCUCUGGUUGGGCCUUCUUCUUCAACGUGAGGAUUUUUACUCUCUACCCUUUUCUCAAUUAUGAAUUUGGGUUUUGUGGUGUAAAAAUUGAGUAUUUGCUAUUUAUUAUUGUGCAAUAUUAUUUGAAUUAUUGUUUUAUUUAUUUUUUAGGACAAAUUUUUGUUGUAUUGGUGAAGGACAAGCUCUUUCAAAUUCUCUCUCUCUCUCUCUCUCUCUCUCUCUCUUUUUGCUUAAUUUUUAGUAUUGCCUGUCUUGGACUUUCUGGUGCAGACUGCGGAGUAUGUGUAAUUGUGUACUGCUAAUUAUUUUGAGGAGAAAGUUUGUUAAAUUGAUUAAGUACAUGUUUUCUUUGCACGGGAUUGGAGUUUUCUAGCCCAAAAACUGAGUCUUUACCCUAUAGUGUAUGCAAAAUAUGCAUUUGUUUCUAGUAAGAAGUAUGGAGUGGUUUGGUUUGUUUAUUGGGCACGUUGUAAAUUGGCAAAGUGUUCAACAAUGAAUUUCAACCAUAUGUUUUAUGGGACUCAUAACUUUUUAACCACAUAUUUUAUCAACUUUUAACAAAAUUUGUUAAAAAUCUGAUUUUAUGAAUAUCUAAUCCCUGCUUGUUUCCCGACAUCUGAUCUGAAUUGAUACCGUCUUAGUACACGGUUCUAUUUUUAUUUUUUGGNNNNNNNNNNNNNNNNNNNNNNNNNNNNNNNNNNNNNNNNNNNNNNNNNNNNNNNNNNNNNNNNNNNNNNNNNNNNNNNNNNNNNNNNNNNNNNNNNNNNNNNNNNNNNNNNNNNNNNNNNNNNNNNNNNNNNNNNNNNNNNNNNNNNNNNNNNNNNNNNNNNNNNNNNNNNNNNNNNNNNNNNNNNNNNNNNNNNNNNNNNNNNNNNNNNNNNNNNNNNNNNNNNNNNNNNNNNNNNNNNNNNNNNNNNNNNNNNNNNNNNNNNNNNNNNNNNNNNNNNNNNNNNNNNNNNNNNNNNNNNNNNNNNNNNNNNNNNNNNNNNNNNNNNNNNNNNNNNNNNNNNNNNNNNNNNNNNNNNNNNNNNNNNNNNNNNNNNNNNNNNNNNNNNNNNNNNNNNNNNNNNNNNNNNNNNNNNNNNNNNNNNNNNNNNNNNNNNNNNNNNNNNNNNNNNNNNNNNNNNNNNNNNNNNNNNNNNNNNNNNNNNNNNNNNNNNNNNNNNNNNNNNNNNNNNNNNNNNNNNNNNNNNNNNNNNNNNNNNNNNNNNNNNNNNNNNNNNNNNNNNNNNNNNNNNNNNNNNNNNNNNNNNNNNNNNNNNNNNNNNNNNNNNNNNNNNNNNNNNNNNNNNNNNNNNNNNNNNNNNNNNNNNNNNNNNNNNNNNNNNNNNNNNNNNNNNNNNNNNNNNNNNNNNNNNNNNNNNNNNNNNNNNNNNNNNNNNNNNNNNNNNNNNNNNNNNNNNNNNNNNNNNNNNNNNNNNNNNNNNNNNNNNNNNNNNNNNNNNNNNNNNNNNNNNNNNNNNNNNNNNNNNNNNNNNNNNNNNNNNNNNNNNNNNNNUUUGAUUAAUCAUCUCAUCAAACAUAAUUACAACCUCGGUUUAUAACAAACACAAGACACUACCAUCAAAUGUUAAGGACGAUGCUAGUUACAAUUUUAUCGAUCUUAAUGAUGAGACUUUCUUGGCUGAUAUACUAGAAUUAUGUUUAAUAUAUGUGAAAAUGUAGUUAGUUACAAUUUCCCCCUAAUAUUUUCGAUUCUUCGGCUCAAAUGCAAAUCCGAGGCCAACUGUGCUACGUGUACAGAAGGGGGUUUUACAGAAGCCCUACAGACAACUCAAGGUGGGAGAUUGGAAUUUUUUUUCCCAACCCAUGAGUCUCGCGUGGAGCUGACCUCACGUGUCUCUUCUGGAGGGGCUCUAUGAACUCCUCCACUAUGCAAAUAUUUUUCCCCAUCCGAGGCACUUGUCAAAACUAAGUCCACAUAGAAUAAGGUGGUGGUGGUAUCCACACAAUUUGGGCAGGACCAAGAGGGCUUAGACCUAUCCAUUAUCCUAAUAAAGCUAAUAAAAUAACACUUACUAGCAAUAUAAAACAAGUCUAACAAAUAAACGUCUGUCUGCACGAUUUCAUGAAAUUCUGUACCUAUAUUAUUACAUGACAAUAAUUAAAUUGUGAAGUACUAAGGCAGGAAACAUCUUUAGAAAUUAGAAAGGAAAAUAUACAAAGGUAACUGCAAUAGAACAGAACUUCACGUAAUUUCCAGUUAUCACCACAUCCAACUCAGAUUGCUGCAACCAAAGUAGUAGUCUACUUGUUCUUAUUAGCAAAAGUAGAAAUAAAAAAUGAAGAAUAAUAUAGCCACAGGUAGUAAAUGUGUCAUAUUUCAUUUUCAAUGAAUCCGAUUAUUUCAAUUGUUUAGAAUACCCUUGUUUUACACUCUGCCAUCGCUCUUCUUUACGAGUACCUCUCAAGUUAAUCAUCUAUAUAAGCUACAAUAGAAAAAACAGUAUUUUCAUUUUUUUUAUAUUUAAAACAGUAGAUGGACUGACAUUCACUAUCUUUAGAUAAAUUGUCCAGUUCAAAUUGGACGGGAUCCGAAUCUAACAAAUAGGCACAGCCCAUUAGAAACACAUGGAGAACUUACCCCAAACACAGGGAAUUACUCACAGGGGCCUGUUAAGCCCCUAUAAAUGAAUUAUGGGGAAAUGAGUUGGAAUAGCUACUCCUAAGUGUCAUUUUGUCUAAAUGGCCUUUCACCAAAUUCUUUAAAAAUAAGAAAACUGAAUUAUUUUAAAGUAUCAAAAGUCUAUUUUAUCCUUUUCUUCCAUAACCAAAUAAAUGAAGGAUUUUUGGCAUUUUCUCCUUCAUCCCCCACGUAAAUCUUUCUUCCCCAAAUUUACAAUUGCAGAAUUAAAUAUUCUACUCCUUUAAAUUCCCAGAUACUUCUCAUUCAAGUCAAAAACAAUAUUUUCUCCUUCUUCUAAGGCCAAAAAUUGUGCAGAGUUUUAAAGUGGCGGUGGGUUUGGGGCUAAUAGGUUGAAUAAAGUGAGUAUUUAUGCUCUUGAAAUUGGCAGUUGCAGUAAUGGUGGUGUGCAACAACGGUGGGUAUGAAGGAUCUACAUGCCGGAACCUUUUUUUUUUUUUUUUUUGUUGAUGAUAGACAAUUUUUUUUAGAUUAUAUAAUUGGUAAUUGUUUUAUUUUCAAACUCUUCUUGUAGUUUAGUUGGUGAAAACUUACAUUUAUACAUAGCAAGUCCCAAGUUUGAAUCCUUUUUCACCCAAUUAAUGGAGCAACAUUUUUAUUUUUAAAAUAUUUACCAAAAUUAACUCCAUAAGGAAUGAAUUCGAACUUCUGACCUUUAGUUAAAAUAUUGGAAGCUUAACCACGUUGCCAAUAGUUGAAUGUUGAUUUUAAAUUUAACAAAAUAAUAUAUGUUGAUUCGAACCUGUAACGACAUUCAAAUCGUUUUAGUACAAAUUUGAUGAGUUUGAAAUCGGUUCAUUACAAAUCACAAUUACAACGAUAUAGAUAUCGUUUCUUUUUAUACAAAACGAUAAUUAUAUCGUUCUGGCUAAUAAUAAUGAUUCGAUCGUCCACGACCAUCCAUCAUGCCUUCAACAUACGUAGGAUGAUCAAAAGAUGUCAUAAAGCAAGCUUAAAAAGAGCGAACGAAGAUACUUUUCGUUGAAAUAGUUCGAAUGUAGUAUACAAUCAUGGGACACGCAAAUGUUUCCAUAAUUUCUAUCGAGUGAGAUCGAACCCAUUUGAUUACCUAUUUUGAUCAUCCUACUUAUGGCAAAUGCAUGUUUGAUAGUCGUGAACGGUCGAAUCGUUGUUUUUAGCAAAAACGAUAUAAUUAUCGUUUUACUUUAACUGAAACGAUAUAUAUGUAGUUUUAGUUAUGAUUUAAACUAAAACGAUAUCAACGUCAUCGAACUUAUACUGAAACGAUAAUGAUAUCGUUAUGCAUUAAAAUCACAAGUAAAGUAACGACAUUUAUAUUGUUUUAGUACAAAUUUGAUGGGUUGGAAAUCUUUUCAAUACAAAUCACAAUUACAAAGAUAUAGAUAUCGUUUCUUUUCAUAUAAAAUGAUAAUGGUAUCGUUCUGGUUAAAAACAAUGAUUCGACCAUCCACGAGCACCCGUUGUGCCUUCAACAUACGUGGAACAAUCAAUAGAGGUCAUCAAGUGGAUUGAUACCACUUGAAUGGCUUAAAAAGAACGAAUGAAGAUACUUUCUGCAGGAAUAAUUCGAAGGUGGUAUGCAAUCAUGGGAACACAAAUGUUCCCAUAGUUUCUUUCGAAUGAGAUUGAAUCCACUUGAUUGCCUAUUUUGAUCAUCUUACAUAUGUUAAAAAAAAAAGGUUAAACCCUAACCUUAAGGGUCCCCCACCACCCCUACCCUAGAGUAUCGUGAGGGAGGUAAAUCGCAGGUUAUGCCUCCAAGGGUACAGGGUGGAAGGUUGCUUGUACACUUGCGCUUACCCAAGAGCCAAAUCCAUAUUUCAGGAUUUGAACCCCUGACGCAGUAGCCUCAAGCAUGUCUGGUGGUCGUGGACAGUCGAAUCGUUAUUUUUAUCAGAAACGAUAUAAUUGUCAUUUUACUUUAACUGAAACGAUAUAUAUGUAGAUUUACUUAUGAUUUAAACUAAAAUGAUAUCAACGUUGUCGAACUUGUACUAAAACGAUAAUGAUAUCGUUAUGUAUCAAAAUCACAAGUAAAGUAAAGAUAUUCAUAUCCUUUUAGUACAAAUUUGACGAAUUUAAAAUCAUUUCAAUACAAAUCACAAUUACAUCGAUAUAAAUGUCGUUUCUUUUCAUAUAAACGAUAAUGGUAUCAUUCUGGCUAAAAACAACAAUUCGACCGUCCACAGGCACUCGUCCUGCCUUCAACAUAAGUGGGACGAUCAAAAGAGGUCAUCAAGUGAGUUGAUACCACUCGAAUGGCUUAGAAAGAGCCAACGAAGAUACUUUCUGCCAGAAUAGUUCGAAGGUGGUAUGCAAUCACGGAAACACAAAUGUUCCCAUAGUUUAUUUCGAAUGAGAUCGAACCCACUUGAUUUCAUAUUUUAAUCAUCUUAUAUAUGUUAGAUGCAUGUUUGGUGGUCGUGAACAGUCGAAUCAUUGUUUUUAUGAGAAACGAUAUAAUUGUAGUUUUACUUUAACUGAAACGAUAUAUAUGUUGUUUGAGUUAUGAUUUAAACUAAAACGAUAUCAAGGUCGUCGAACUUGUACUGAAACGAUAAUAAUGUCGUUAUGUAUCAAAAUCACAAGUAAAGUAACGAUAUUCAUAUCGUUUUAGUACAAAUUUGACGAAUUUGAAAUCGUUUCAAUUCAAAUUACAAUUACGACGAUAUAGAUAUCGUUUCUUUUCAUAUAAAACGAUGAUGUUAUCGUUUUGGCUAAAAACAAUUAUUUGACCGUCCACGAUCGCUUAUCGUGCCUUUAAUAUACGUAGAACGAUCAAAAGAUGUCAUCAAGUGAGUUGAUACCACUCGAAUAGCUUAGAAGGAGCGAAUGAAGAUACUUUUUGCUGGAAUAGUUCGAAAGUCUUAUAAAAUCAUGGGAAUACAAAUGUUCCCAUAAUUUCUUUCGAGUGAGAUCGAACCCACUUGAUUAUCUAUUUCGAUCAUUUUACAUAUGUCUGGUGGUCGUGGACUAUCGAAUAAUCGUUUUUAGACAUAACGAUAUGAAUAUCGUUUUAUUUUCGAAGAAUCGAUGUAUAGGUCGUUUUAGUUCUUAUUUGAACUGCAACGAGUUCGAAUAAUCGUUAUGUACCAAAUCACGAUAUAACGUAACGUCGCCCAUAUCGUUUCAUUACAAAUUUGACAAGUUCAAAAUCGUUAUAUUUUAAAUAAUAAUUAUAACGAUAUUGGUAUUGUUUCUUUUCACUUGCAACGACAAUUAUAUCAUUAUGCUUAAAAAAGAUGAUUCGACCGUCCAUGGCCACCCGCCAUACGUCAGUCAUACAUAUGACGAUAAAAAUAGGCCAUCAAGCAUGUUCAAUCUCACUCAAACGAACCUACGAAAAUAUUUGUGAUUCCAUAAUUGUCUUUCACAUUCGAAUUGUUUCAAUAGAAACAUGUAUCUUCUUUGGCUCUUUCUGAAAAUUGUACUGAAACGACAUGGACGUUGUUUACUUAUUCUAUGGUGUGCGCCUAAGCCUCUUAACUAGUUAAGCAAUGUGUAUUUUAUAUCGAAACAACAUACACAUCGUUGUCGUGUUUCAAGAACGAUUUCAAUGUCGUUACGCAAAUCAAUUAAGCAGUAUGUUUAUAAUACCGAAACGACAUAGAUGUCGUUUUGUGUUUCAGGAAAGAUUUCAAUUUUGUUAUAAGGACAUUUUAGUCCUUUACAAAAUUGAAUUUUCCAUGCUUAAUAAUUUUAGUCCUUUUAAACAAAAAUCUUAGAUGUUGGUCUUCUUCAACUAACGUUUAGUUUGACUUGUCUUUUUAACUCAAUCCCCCAUGAAUUAUAGCAUAUUUCCUUGAUAGGAUAAAGCUUCUUUGCCAGAAUAAUUUUACAAAAAAAUUGACAUAAUUGUAUGUGUCAAUUAAUAAUUGGAUGAAAAAAUUGACCGUAUUUUAAAUUGUCCGAUGAUAAUAUGCCAUUUGAUAUUAUGUCAAACUUUAUGUCAACAUUGAUAUUAAUAUGCCACGUGGUAUAUGUAUGGAACUAGAGUAAGAAGACCAGAGAGUCAGAAAGAGAGAAGGGAGGCGAGAAAGGAAAAGCGUUGUACAAUGGCGGACGAGGACUAUGAGAUGGACGGAGGGUACAAUUUUCUCACACUUACUAUCAAUUUUUCCAAAGAGAAAUUAAACCAAUCUUUAAACCUAGGGCUUUUAGGGUUUAUGUUUUAACUAACAAAGAUCCUUAACUUUUUUUUUUUUCAGAUACGAAGAUGAGCCAAUGGAGCCUGAGCCUGAUGUAAGAAACAUUCUUGCUUUCUAAUAACAAUAGCUUUAUAAUGCUUUUUUAGUCCAUUUGCCCGCUCAUGGAAGAGAUACUUUACUUGGGUGUGGAAAUAGGAAGGAGCAGAGAUAGAAGAAGAGAACAACAACAAUGAUGAUGCUCUAGAUGCUUUUGAAGGUGAAGGUGAAGAGAAACAGGAACAAGAACCAGUUGAACGCCCUCGGAAAACGUCCAAGUAUAUGAUGAAAUACGAGCGUGCGAGGAUUUUGGGCACUUGUGCCUUGCAGAUUAGGUGUUGUGUGAUUUUUGGAUUUUACGUUUUCAACAUGUUAGUCAUGGAUUUAAGGAGUUUUGUUUAACUUGGGGAAUUUUUGUGGUUGUGCAGCAUGAAUGCCCCUGUCAUGGUUGAAUUGGAGGGUGAAACUGAUGAGGACAUCUACUUUUUAUUUAUUUUUAGUUGGACGUUAUUUAUGUUUUAGAUUUUAUUUAUGUAAUUGGGCUUGUGUUGGCCCAAGUCCAUUCUACUUAGAGUUUUAGUCUUUAUUAUUUAAACCUAAUUGCGAUAUAAUUUCAUUAGUUUUGAUAAAUUGAAGAAUAUUUUGGUGGUUUGUUGCCUAUGGCUUCUCCUUCCUCUCCCCUCUCCUCUUCCCCAUGAAUUUCUGCUUCUUCUCCGGUUUCUCCUCCCAUUCUCUCCGGUUCUCCCCUCUUUCUUGCUUCUUCUUUCUAUUUUUUAAUUCAUCCUGCAUUAAAUUUGGUAUCAGAGUCGAACCAUGGGUAAUUUCUUUUCUUUAAUCCAAAAUUUAUUUAUAUUUCCUUCCCAAAAUAUGUUGGGAUAGCACGAACUAAAAGAAUUUUUGGUAAAGGCAACAAUUUUUUUUGCUUCUUCAAUUUUCAGUCUUAGUUGAAAAAAAAAGUUACUGUUCAUCGCGGGUACUGUUCACACAGAAUUUCAAUUUAGUAUUUUGGUCAGUUUCUUAAAAAUAAAAAAAAUAAAAAAAAUUACUGUUCACGGGUACUGUUCAUGCCCAAAAAAAAAUCUCAUUUUCUUUUUUGCUACUGCUGCUGCUCAUAAAUAAAAAAAAAAAAUUGUGGUGUUGUUCUACAAAUCCCAAGCCCUAGCAUUCAAGCUCAUUUAACCCAACUAACCCAGCCUACUCUUUACGACCCAGGCCCACUCUCCAAACACUAACCCCAGCUGGCCCAUCUCUAUAACAGGAUCCAAACCCCUUCCCAUCUAACCCAGUCCCAAAUAUCCGACCAAACCCGAUUAUAACCAAUCCAUUAACAUCAAAUACCCCACAGUUUCACCCGAUUCCUCUCUCACAACCACUCUCUUGCUGCUGCCGCCUCUAAUCACCAUCACGCCACCACUUCAUUAUCUAUUGUAUUCAGGCAUUCAGAGCACUAUUGCUUCAUCGCCAUAGGCCACCACCACCAACCCAUGAUCAUACACUUCCACCACAGUUACCACACUCAUAUAUUUUCUCGUUCAUCUCAACAAUCUAAAAGUCACAGUCAUCACACUCAGUUUUACAUCCACACCAGAGCCAGUACAAAUUACAGUCAAUAGGGGUUAAAACCAUUGGACACGAAGGGAAGAACAGAAGCAUAGUUGGGGCGCAUAAGUCGGUAAUUCAGAUCAAGCGGUAUACAAAUAAUCAAAACUAAACAACAGGGAGUCCUUGAUCUUUAUUUAGUAUUAGUUUAUACUACUGCUUCGUUUUUAAAAUUGUAUCAAUUAAAAUCUUUUGCUGCUGUUAUCGUGAUAAUUUUAGCCUUAAACCCCACUUGAUCAAAACCAUUAAUCGAAUUGACACCAGUGAUCGAAUUGACUUCCAUUGUUCUCCACUUAAAUUGAUUGGAGAAUUUGACUAGUGUUUUGACCCUUGCUUUGCCAUUUUACAUGUACUAGUAGUAGUAUUAGCUUGUUUUGAAUUUAAUUAAUCCCAAUAUUUAAAAUUAAAUUAAAAAAAAUUGGUACAAGUUAUUUUUCAUUUAUUGCACGUAUUGUUCACUGAUCUCAUCAUAGCACGUCAUUUAGUCGGUAUUACAUUGCAUGUAGUUGCAUAGUGGUCAUCUUGUCAUCUCUAUUUCCAAUACAUUGACCAUGGAUCCAUCCCAAUUUGAUGCACUCACUAGACAAUUAGCGCAACUUGCCACUAGCUUAUCGGCUGUCCAAUCAGAUAUAGCUGCUACUCGUGAGGAGAGAAAGAACCUAGCUGCUAAGUUGAGCAAUUUUAAGCGAACCCCUCGUUUAACUGACACUAAUUCUGAAGUGUUUCAUAAUAGACAAUAUCAUCGUGGACAAAGUGAUCAAAAAUAUUUUCGACGCGAUCGUAGGAAUAGGGAUCAGGUUUGUGAGCGAGAACAAGGUGGUCAUCAUGAUACUCAUUCUCUUCCUCGUCGUAAGGAGCGUUUCUUUAGAGACAUUGACUUAGAUAUUCCUACUUUCGAUAUUUGUUUAGAUCAUGAAGGGAAUCGGCUAGUAACUGAGUACAUUGCUCAAUUUGAGGAAUUUCGAGUAAACUGUCAUGUCGUUGAGGAUGAGGCCCUGACUUUAAGUAGGUUUAUACAAGGUCUAAGAGAUGAACUUAGGCGUGAGCUUUUCUUUCGGAGCAUCACUACUCUUGAUCAAGCUUACUCUUCAGUUCAGGACUACGAGUUACUUAUUAGUACUCCAUAUGAAAAGCGCGACCACCAUCGUUCUCCCAUGUCAUUAGCACCACCUCAACAUGAGUCUGUCAUAGAGACUUCCCAGUCUAGUGUUCUUCCCAUUUGGAAAAAUAAGUGUAAAGGUCGUGAUAGUCCAAUGCCGCCUUCUCCUUAUAGAAAGCGUAUUGACAACCAUUCUUCCGUCUCAUUGGCUCCACCUCCUCCUGUUAAGUCUUUUCUAGGACCUGCCCCGUCUAAUGUUUCUCAAAUCUUGAAAAAUAAGGGUAAAAUUUUUGAAACUCCAGGGACUUCUUCUCAACUACUAUGCAUCAGCUAUAAGGAUUUUGGUCACAUCUCUUCCAAUGUCCUAAUCGAGCCUUAGUCAUAGAAGAACGAAAGAAUGUAAUAGAAGAGUCGUUAGAAGAUCCAGUGUACGAACCUAAACUUGAAGAUUUUGAUGAUGAUAGUGAGGCACCUCCUUAGGUGGCACCCAGACUCUUCCUGAGGCUCUAGAUACUAUAUCCCAUGAUUUCACUAGUCACUUUUGGAGAACCCAGUCUCCUUUGGUUAACACUAAAUCGAAAUUCUCCACUGCAGACCAACCUCAGACUGAUAGUCAAAAUGAAGUCGUUAACCAAAGUCCUAACAAUUUAUUCAAGUCUCUAGCCCAGAAAAAUCUUGGGAAUUGGGACUCGAUCCCCCCAACUGUUCACAUUGCAUAUAACAAUUCUAUGAAUUGGUCUCUAGGUCUAAAUCCAUUUGAAAUUGUUCAAAAUUAUAAGUCUAGGUGGCCGUUAGAUCUUAUUCCCAUGUCCCUGCAUGCUAGUGUGUUGUUGUCAGCUGAAGCAUUUGUAUAUCAUUUUCAUGACUUACAUAUUGAGAUCAAUAAACAACAUGACGCAAGUAAUGCAUUAUAUAAACUUCAAGCUGAUUCGCAUAAACGAUAUUUUGAAUUUAAUAUUGGGGAUUAUGUUAUAUUGCAAGCUUGUAGUGCUGGUCCUUUAAAAAUUUUAAAGUAUGUUGGUUCAAAUGCACAUGUCAUUGCCCUUUCAUCACAUUUUGGCUACCACUCUGCUUUAAAUAUUGAGGACUUCAUUACUUACAAACACCGUGUUACUUCCUUUGAUGAUCCAUUUCUACUUAGCUUUGUAGACCCCCAACUUGACUAUGUUGAUAUUUCUACUUCAAUACCAUCUAUCACAGCACACAAAGAUAAAAUUGAUAUUAUUUUAGAUGAACGUGUUGUAUUGACCAAUGAUGGCAAGAUUCAGUACUUUCUUGUUUGUUGGGUAGAUCGACGUGCUUCUUAUGCUCCUCAUUAUAUACAAUCAUGUGAAAAUCUUGAAGAUGAGGUGCAUGAAUAUUGGUUAUUUGGAGUCCAGUAUCAGUACAUGGUUAGAAGGAAAGAUCGCCCCCUUGGUCAGAUCAUAUUCUUGGGAAUAAGCUACAGUUUUUAGUACUAUCAAUUAUGGAAUUUCGUUACUUGGUUUGUCAGAAAGAUCGUCCCCCGUGGCUUGACGCAUUUGGAGUAUCAAAUUGAAUGCAGCCUAUACUAUCUAUCAACUUGACAUGGUCGAGUUUUUCUUCCACCCCGGGAGAGUUGAUGAUGACAUCUAUUUUUUAUUUAUUUUUAGUUCGACUUUAUUUAUGUUUUAGAUUUUAUUUAUGUAAUUGGGCUUGUGUUGGCCCAAGUCCAUUCUACUUAGGGUUUUAAUCUUUACUAUUUAAACCUAUUUGCGAUGUAAUUUUAUUAGUUUUAAUGAGUUGAAGAAUAUUUUUGUGGUUUGUUGCCUAUGACUUCUCCUUCCUCUCCCCUCUCCUCUCCCCCAUGAAUUUCUGCUUCUUCUCCGGUUUCUCCCCUCUUUCUUGCUUCUUCUUUCUAUUUUUUAAUUUGUCCUACAUCAGAAACUGAUCCUCUUGAGGUAAAAUUAUUGAUCUUGUUCUCGAAUGAGAAAAUACUGAUGUGUUUAUUGUAUUUUUUCUCUUAUUCUUCCUGUUAAUUUGCCUUUUUCUACUUUCUUUGAGACCUUUGAUUUUGAAAUUAGAAGCUGUGUAACUGAAUGGAUUGUUGCACAUGUUUUUCUUUCUCUGCUUCUUGGUAAGUAGCAAUUAAUCUAGGGGAAGGGCUUGAAAAUCCAACAUCAUGGUUAAGCCCAUAUUCUCUAACCAAGCUACUCUGGCUCCUUGUUUGGUGUUUUUUGCCCACCCUUCAAAUGUGAUUUAGGUUCUGUUGACUGCCUUUGUUUUUAAGUCAUAAAUACUAUAUAUUUCAAUUUGAACCUUCAAAAUGAGCCAGUGCUAUAGGAUGUUGAAAGACAAUGUUAUCACUUUCUAAUGGAGCAGACAAAUAUAUGCAUGUAUGAGAGAGUAGAAAAUUGAUGAUAAAGAUAACGUCAUUCCAAUUACUGGAAAUUAACUAAACUAGAUAACUCUUUUUCACUGUAUGUAAAUCUUCAAACGCCUUGGUCUUAUAGUUCUCUACUAGGAAGUUCUGACGUCCGUGGAGCCAGCAGGCAGGUGUCCAAUACGUGUUGGCACCUACAUGUGGUAUGUCCCCCUUUUUCUGUUUUCUCACAACAGACAUGUCGCCAACAUGCCGUCAACACAUCGGCAAUAUUACAUUAGAGGAAUCAUAACAAAAUUUAGAAAAAGGGAGAUAUAUUUAGCCUUUCUUUGAACCCCCUUUUAAUUUUGUAAAAGUGAUUUUUUGAGAAUGUGUGGUAACUGCGCAUGAUGGAUUCACAAUCCACCGCCUUAACCCACUUGGCUACAUCACCCUCCACAAUCCAGGUGGCGAUGUCCAAAUCAUGACACCAAGUUCAUGCAGGAGAGGACUUUAAUGAUGCAAACAACUCACGUUCGGUAAUAAGACUUGAACAUGGAUUUUUUCCCCAUCGAUAAAGUAGGAAAAACUUUGGGUUCACAAGCAAAAUUAUUUUAUUAGGUGUAUGUUUGAAAAUGAGUUUGCGGGAAAAUGAGUUUUAAAUGAUGGGGGCUCUAACACGCACUUAUCUGCUGGGAGGAGCAGAAGAUUAUCUUGUAUAAACAGGCUGAAGGAGCAAACAAUGCUGAUUGGGGGUGGAAAUAAUUGAAGGGGGUGGGGUGAAGUGAAGUUGGUAGAAGGGAGUUGGGGAGGCCGAGAGAGGUGAGCGGAGCUUGCUGAAAUGAUGUGGAACUUUAAUUUAGUAUUUCAGAUAAUUUAUUGGGCAAAGCCCCUGGCCCUGAACGUCAAGCAAAACUCUAAUUUAUCAAAAGUGAACACAGCUUUGAACUUUAAAGCAAGCGUACCGAUUUGAUUUACCCAACUUUUUAGUGGCAUGUAUUGUUUCAAUAAUAUAGUACUUUUCGUUUUUCAAUAAUACAUUAAACCUUUGUUUGAGUCCCAUUUUUCAACCAAAAUAUAUUCUUCAACAGUGAUUUGACAUAUUUCAACCACAAAUUCUUCAAUAAAGUAAUAUUAUACGCAAAUAAAAUUUUUUCUUAUUUUUUAACUACACAUUUCUCAUCAAUACACUAUUCAAAAAUUCAUUUUCUUCACAAAAAUGGGGCUCAAACAAGGACUAAAUAUGAUUUGAUUUGAUUUACCCAACAUUGAAAUAAUGGCAUGUUUUACUCAAAUUCUGAUUUAAAAAAUUAAACAAAUACGUGUACUGAUUUGAUUUACCCAACUUGUUAAUUGAACAAAACACAUAAUUUUCCACUAAAAAUUUUAAAAAUUUAAAAGCAUAAAAAAGUAAGAAAAAUUAAUAUUUUUUAGUUGACAUUUGGUAUCAUGUUUAUUAUUUUAAAAAAUUAAGUCAGUACAUCUAUGUUGUGUCAUGACGGACACGCUACACUGUUCUUUAGGUGUUCCAAGAUGUAAUUUAGUUCUUUCUUUUCUGUACUAAAAGAAAUUGGACGGAUCUGUGUCUAAUGGAUUGAAUUGAAAGAGCUGUUUACUCUUCACCAAACUAUGCUGAUUGAUGACUAGUAAGUUACAUUUAAAUAUCAUUAAAUUGAAAAUUUUGUAGUUGAACUCGUUGCUAGUAGAUUUUAGAUACUAAUUUUGUAGCUCUAUUUCUUGCAUUUUCUUUUCAUGAAGCAAUUAACCUAAUAAACCUGUUUUUGCCCAUGUGUUUUGUUUGUGCUCAUAUCAUUUAUCUAAGAUUGCAAUGAAGGAACUGCGAGAGCGAAAGAUACCAUUCACUAUUCGUCGUUACCUCCCUGAUGGAAGGUAGGAUUCGCUCGUAAGUUAAAAGUCUUUAUUUUACCGGUCUCUCUCCUAUGCUACAGCUAUUGGUUUUUAUGUUGGUACAAUGCAGUUACGAAGAUUGGGGAGUUGAUGAAUUGAUUGUGGAAGACUCCUGGAAGAGACAAGUUGGAGGCGACUAAUAUGAUCGUGCCCUAUUGUUGAAAUGGUUGUGUUUGUAGUAAUGUUUGUGGGGAUUUUAGAUAAAGACCAAGUUUUCAAGUAUGUAUUAACAGUGACUUGUGUCAUAACUUCAUGGACUAAAGUCAUCAAUGCUAACUGUCUUGAAUUUUCGUUCGAAUGAGUUUCUGUUCUGUCUGAUUUUUCCGAAGAGUAAUUGAAUUUUGUUUUGUUGGGAUUUUAGUAUUAGGUUGUUUAAAAAAAGGUUGAAUCUCAACCUUGAGGGCCCUAUCGUCCCGUCCUUGGAGCAUCGUGAGGGAGAUAAAUCGCUGGAUGUGUCCCCACAAGUCAGAGAACAAAAACUAGUCUGUAUACUGGUGCUCACAAAGAGUUCAAUUCCAUAUAUUAGGAAUCGAACUCUCCCACUGCAACUAUCAGCAAGGCUGAGAUUACCAAACAGAUCAUUAUGUUUAAUUCUAUAAGCUUGUCAAAUGAAAUAACCAAUAAAUAAACUUGGACACUAGUCAUCAAAUGCACAAAGUAUGAACAAAUUUACCAAAUUAAAUUUGAGCAAGCUAGCCUUGUUUGAAAGUAGUUAUUUGAAAAUUACUUAUUCUUCACCUUCAUUUUCAAUUACGAGAAAAAAUAAUUUUUACGUAAAUUUUCCUUCCUUUUUAAUUAACCAAACAUUCUUAAAAUCACUUUCACGAGUACUAAGAAAUUGUAGUCUCAUCCUCAAAAUGUAUCCAUUAUCAAAUACUAUUUCCAAUCUGGUGUGCUUCAACAUGAUGUUAUAAGACAUUGACACUAAUUUGAGACUUGCUUUCAACUAAUAUUAAAAGGGUUUAUUCCACUUGUAUAGAAAAUGGAAUUACAAAAUUCCACUAGAAUCUCACGUGUGGGUCCAUGUGAUGAUAAAAAAAUGCCAAAAAAUCUUCCACCCCACCCCCUAUUGCAAGUUAUCUAUAGCUAUUCCGUGAAAUUUAUUUUUGUACACUUAGCAAGGCUCUAUUAAAAAUUGUGCAUGCAGCGUGUUGGAAACCUUUGAUAAUGAAAAUUGAAUAAAGAGAAGCCAACGGUAAACACUAAAUUUUACUCGGUGGUUCAAGAAUCCGUUUAACUCUUCUGUGCAUCUCAACAUUUUUAUUUUAUUAAUAAUACUUAAAAAGAAGAAAAAGUUGAAGAAGAACCCAUUUUUUUCUCGAAUUUUCUGAUUGUAUUCUGGUAACCAGGUUAUAGAACCCAUUUUUUUCUCGAAUUUUCUGAUUGUAUUCUGGUAAUGUUUUGUUUAAUGACUACUUUUAACAUUCAUGCCUGAGAAAGACCUGUAUGGAUUUAAAUCUGUAUAAAUGUAAAGAAAUUGUAUUGAAUUCAUAGCAAUGCUCGUGGAUGCCUCAAUUGUAAGGUAUGAUUGAAUUAAAUAAAUGCAUUGAUGAAUUAUAUCUUGCAUUUUCUACUGAUUUGUCAUUUUAUUUAUAUUUUGAUUAAGAGGUGGGGAAAUCCCUUUUAUUGAUUUUGUAGUGUAGAGUGGUUCAUGGAGUUAUGUACCUAUGAAAAGUUUUCAAUGUAAUAUGCAUAUCAAUGUCAGUAUCUAUAUCUAAUUAAUUUAAUUUAUGUAUAAUGCAGAAUUUUAUUGGUCAAGCAAAUGGCUUUAAAUGGCCAUUCACAGAUGGUGACGCAUGCAUAUGAAUAUUCACACGCAAACAUAUAUAUUCAUUUAUUCAGGAAAUUUGUGAUCUUUGACUCUAUUUGGUAUUUAAUGCUCAAGGUUGGCAGUUUUUCUCAAUAAUCUUUUCUAAACUACUUGAUGAUGGGUGAAUCAGAGUUUAUUUGAAUAUCUUAUUUUUUGCUUCCCUUGUGUUCAAAGAUAGGGUAGCUUUAGGGACGUGAAGAUUCAGAUACUUUCACAAUGAUUGACCAUUACUUCAAUGACAUGAACUGAAUUUGCCGAACAUAUGGAAAAGAUUUUUCCUGAGUUCGGAGAUCAUGACGUUGAAGAAGUUCUCCAACAGCAGGUAACUUCUAGACUCUAGAGACUCUCUUGGAAAUCUCGGGAUUCAGUUUUCGUGGAUAUUGCAUAGAAUUAAUAGAUAGUUUUUGUGUUGAAUAACAGAGAAGUGCAUAUCUGUAUAUUCAAGAAAACAAGAAUAUCACAUCUGAUGAUAACCAAACUAGCAAUAUGAGCGAUUUUCUGCAUACGUGGAUGAAUCUUGGUGGGAAGAUAUCGAGCAAUUUACUCUCGAUGAAGCUUUGGCUAGAUCCUUGCAGUUGCAGGAUUACUCUGGUGAUGAUCCAGACUUGCUGGUAAUAAAAUAACUUCAUUUUAUAUAUUUACGGUAGUAUUUCUGGUUCAUAGAAGAACUAAUUCGUAUAUAUGUCGCUCAUAGUGUGAGUGUAUACUCUGUGAUCUACAGGGACAAUAGUCUCCUCCUCCGGCUUCCAUGGUAACUACACACAUCCUCCCAAGUUCCUUAAUAGGAAUUUUUGCAUCAUAUGAUUAUGAUCAGGACAUGAUUCUUGGUUGUGUGAAUCAAUGCAGGUGACAAGUCAAAUUAGAAGGCAGGAUAACAUCAAUCCAGACAAUAUGACUUGUGAGGUUAGCUAUCUGAUGCAUGAUUGGCAUUAUAUUCUGUGUUUUGUUUACUUGGGAAAUUCUUUGUUUGAAAAUUUCUAAUGCUAUACAAAAUCAUGAAACUCUUUCAUAUCUAGUUUACUGUGUUAGGAAUUGCUGUCACUGGACGAAGCUAGUGGCGACGAACACAAAGGACUUUCUGUACAUCUCAUCUCUCAGUUGCCAACUUUCAGAUACAAAGCUGGUUCGUCUGCUAGAAAACGGGAGGAAAAAGAGUAAGAACUCUCCGAUCUAGCUCUUAGUACCUGGUGUAGUUAUUAGACAACACUGGAUGGUAUUAAGGAAGAAGAGAAAGCUCAAAAUCUCAUUCAUCGUACUGUUCUAGACGGUCUCACAGCCGAGAAUGAGCUACUUAACAAUGUUACAAAUGGCUAUUGCAAGAUUUCAAAGCGAAGCAUACAAAAUCACACACACUUAGGAUAAAUUUUUGAAGGAAUAUUAUGCGCUAAUUCCUGUCUCUACAUUUUAGAUGCGCGAUAUGUUGUUCAGCUUACAAUAAAGGAGAUACUUUGAGUCUUUGACCACUCUGCCUCGCGCACACCAGUAUCAUGCAGAUUGCAUUAAUCAUUGGUUGAAAAUCAUGAAGGUGAGAAUGGUCAUUUUGACUAUUAUUGCCUUCUUUCGAGAUCAUAACAAAGUCUCUCUCAGUCUCAGAAUUGCCUCGUCUGUAAAAAGGAGGUCCGAGAAGAUUAAUAUUUGAGAGUUUCUGGACAGAGUACAGCUGAUGGUUCUGCUGCUUGCUUAUUGUUCACGAAAUAAUUUUUUCGAUUUAAAACUACCACAAGCAUACGGUUCGUAACAAGUAAUAAAGUGGAUUUUAAUAAGUUCGAAUAUCGUCCCUCAGAGAUCGAGUAGUUCAAUUCUAUAUAAUCUAGCCUUAACCGAAUCUAAUUGAGUGAAAAUAUGGUCUAAAUGCAAAAAGCCUUAAUUUCAAUUAAAAACCCUAAUUUCGCUAAAAACCCUAAUUUCUAUUGAAAAUCCUAAUUUCUCAAUUAGAAACCCUAAUUUUGAAAUUUUUCUAAUUUAAACGACGCAAACACUCAAGUAAAUGAAAUUAUGCAAAUUCAAAAGCUAAUUUAUGGAAAUGAAUCAAACUAAAGUCACUAGGAUCACGAAUCCCCAAUUGAAGUUAUAAAAAUCCUAAUUUCACAAAAUUAAUGACCCGAUGGAAAUUUGCAAAUUCAAUGUUCCUAAUUCUAUCCAAUAUAUUCUCUCGAUAUAUAUUCGACCUAUUCUUGCACACCACCAGCCUAUAUCUCUAUGGAGGAUGCAAAUAUACAAGAAUGCAUGUGGUUUUGUGAACAAUUAAAGAAUUGUAUAAAGCAUAGAGGUAUAUCUCUAUCCCCUAUCGGACCCUAUGUUAAUUUACACCUUAUCGAACCUAUUCCACUUCUCUCGAAUGUAAGAAAUAAGUCAUCAACACUCACACAAUCAUUGGCCACUAAUUGCGGAAGAAAAUUAAUGCAUGUAAACCAAUCAAAUUAACCAAACUAGUCUUUAUAUUAUAUUCAUGAAAUAUGAAAUUAAAAUAACAAAUAACGGUUCAUCGAUCACCUAAUAAUUGAAAACUUAGCCUAGAAUAUUCAUAAUUACAAAAAAAAAUGAAAUUAAUAAAUAGAAAGAAUAGCACCCGUAUGAAAAUUCCUUGAAUUCUUGAAUAAAACCUUGAAAACCCGCUUGAAUCCUUGUGAAAUCGGCUUCAAGUUCGUGUUUCUUGCCUCCAAAAGUUAUAUUUUUCUUCUCCCUGGACAUUCUGCCCUAUUUUUGAUGAAUUUUGACUUUUAUACCAUGUCCUCACGGAGCCCCAAAGGAGUUUUAAUUGAAAACGGAAGUUCAGAAUGUUUGUCGGAUUUUUAAGCUAUGCGGCCGCAUGGUGGCCGCAUGGUGUUAACCCAUGCGACCGCAUGGUUCAAGUGAUAUGCCCCAAAUAAAUCCCUGCUAGUUCAUGUGCGGCCGCAUGGUAUUGUUACAUGCGGUCGCAAGGUUGUAACUUUACAACCUUACUAUUUUGGUCCCUGAACUCCGUUUUCUCUUUUCUUGAUCUCUUUUCUUUCUUUGCUUUAUUCCAUUAUCAAAUACUAACUCCUAAUUGAUGUUUGGGUCAAUCAAUUCCUUGAUCACUUGUUCGGCUCAUCUUUUGAUUAAUUGCAAUUUAGUCCUUCAUCUUUCACUUUUCUUCAAUUCAGUCCAAUGUUACUUCUUUCUUCCUCCGAUCGUCUUGUAUCAUCCUCAAUCUCAUACUUGGCAUAUUUUCAUUCUAGUUCUGCACUUUAGCUCAACUUUCCAAUAUUUGCACAUUUGGUCCCCGAACUAUCGCUUUGUUCCGUUUUGGUCCUUUUUAAGCUCUUUUCUUCUGAAUUCCAUCUUUCCCAUAGAAACACCUACAUUGCAUGAAUUUAACGAGAUUAAGCCACAAUUCAACUACUUUAUCCAUGUUUAAGUCAUGUUUGUGAGCUAAAUAAGUGUGUAAAAACACACUUAUCAAAUCCCCCAAACUUAAACUAUUGUUUGUUCUCAAACAAUGUAGUGAUUUAAUGUUAAACAAACAUGGCUUAAUAGCUUGCCGUGUCUCAGGAUUGGACUUAGUAAUAAUAAUAGAAACAAUAUCAAGAGUGCGAGAAUUGAAUCAACCUUCACUCAUCAAAUGCAAUACUCAACGUGUGUGUGUGAACUCAUGCCAACAUAUCAAGCUUAUGACUAGUUUAUUCCUGACCCAUAGUGGUCAAAUUUAUCCUUACGUCACUCGAGAGAUACACAAUCCCCAAAUGUAUUCUUUUCACAAAUUUCUCCGGGGUGUAUUCUAAGGUUAGAAGUUUAAACAAUUCUAAUUCUUACCCUCUCUUAGUUUGGAUGGAUUUUACCAUUACAAGUUCACAUAUCAACAAUUAGAGACUCUCCUUAUUUUGAUUGCUUCAACCUUUGGGAUUAAACUAAGCUACUUACCUCGCAUUGAGGUUAUAGUUCUAUCAACCAAAUGUCCAACAAGGGUUUUUAUUUUUAUUAUUUUUUUUUGUGUUAUCUUCUCAUUUGCUUUCUAUAUAACCCAAACCAGUUGGCUUUAGGGUACUAGAUUUUAAACCCUUGCAGUCUUAUUCACUCGAGUUAUAAAAGCUCGAUAAGAUGACUUUUUAUCAAUUCUCCUUUUUCUUGCUUUCUAUAUGACCCUUGUAACAAGCUUUAGGCCGAUGACUCCCAAACCAGUUGGUAUUAGGGCAUCAGGUUUUAACCCUUACAGACUUACUUGCUCGAGUCAUAAAGGCUUUUUGAGAGAAGUGAUAAUUUUCCACUUUUUACUUUAUGCCACUUCUUUGUUUUUCUAGACAUUUGACUUCCAAAACCAUCCUCACUUGAAGUUUUCACCUAUUUUUCACCUUCCGGGUUUAAAUAAUCCACACAUUAUAAUUUCAUGCACGGAGCCCCCACUUAUCUCCAUGUUCCCCUACAAUGGCUCAAUUAUCUCCAAACUAUCUUAAAGUGGUAUUACGGGUUAAUGUUAUAGAGGGUUAUUCUAGGUUUCUCCUAAUUUAUUCUAAAAUUUCAAUCAAUAACUUAACACGUGAAGCAUGAGUGGCAUGUAAAAGAAUGUCAAGCAUUGCAUCAACAAGUAUUAGCAAAUUAAAUCCUGUACUAAAUCCACAGUUUCUAGCUUAUACAUGUCCAAUAAUCACAUCAUAGCUGACAAGGCUACCAAACCCACACAAAUAUGCAAACGUUCAUCAAGAUUCACUCAUCAAGCAUGCAUCAUGCAAAAACUUGUCAAAAUUAACGAUGAAUUGUGAAUAUGCAAAAUAAUUACAUGCUGAAUAUUUGUUUGAAAUUAUGCUACCAUCCCCCAAACUUAUACAAUACAUUGUCCUCAAUGUAAAAUUUAAAGUUAAAAUGACAAAACUUAAAACAUGGACACAAGUUGGUAAUAAGAGAUUAACAAAACUCCCCUGAUCAAUUCGGUGGCUGUGGUGUGAAGCUAGGACUCGCAGCAUCAUCUUCAGGAGGAGGUGGGAGGCGAGAUAGGACUUGUCUCAGCAACUCAGACUGCUGUGCUUGCUCAGCCUGAAUGGCUUGAAGACUACUUUCCAUAUUUCCCAAGCGAUCCCAAGUUUCGUUCACACGCCACUGUAUGACAUCCAUUCUCCCAGCGUACAUGUUGAACCUACCAUUCAUAGUGUCUACUUCCCUUUUUGUAGCUGUGGCUUCAUUCAAAGCACCUUUUGUGUAGUCUCGGGAGGAGUAGAGGUCUCUCUGCACUUUUUCAACAGUGGUGGUCAUCGUCUCGAACCUCUGCUGUAGAUUUUGUAUAUCCCUGCUAGUUCCAGUGGCUGUGGCAAAUAUCUGUCGAAGUAGCUGUGAAUCCAUCUCAACUGGUUGUGGCAGGGCUUGUGGUAAGUGUAAAUCUUCAGCAGCUUGUCCUUCUUCCUGUGCAUUUUGUCUUUGCCGCUCAAGUCUGUCUUGUUCUCUCUUCCUUACCCUAGCUCGUUCCUGAGCUUCAAAUGUAGUGAGCUUUAUCAAUGGGCUUGAUUUCUCAGGCAUCUCCCCUGCCUCAACUGUAACACCGGUGGCAAGAUAUAUCCCGCUAAUCAGACUAGGGAAGAUCAUCGAAGACCGCCUAUCUCUCCAGGUUCCCAAAUUUUGUAUCUGGUCAAAGAUAAGAGUAGCCAAAUCAACUUUGCAUCCCCGAGCUAAAUGAUAUAUGAACCCAGCAGUUUGAUCCGUGAAAGUUGUCCAAUGCGAUGUGGGUUCGAUAUUAUGGCACAGGAAGACCCAGAGAAUGGCUAUGGAGGGAGUAAGCUCAAUUUGAUGCCACUCUGCAGUGGGUAGGGGCCAAACAUUUUCCCUUCCCAAGAAAACCUCCGCCACUUCAUUCCAAUUGAAUUGAGUGGGAAUCGGGACCACAUUGUCCAAAUUAAGAUUGUAGAAGUCAUGAAUGACGGCUGGGGAGAACAUUAUCCACUUACCUCGCACCUACGUCUGGUGUAAGUGUUCAAAAUCCGGAGUCUCAAUUUCACUAUUGAAGUUUGCAUAAAAUUCGCGGACUAUACUUUCAUAAACCGAGUGUGGCUUUUCUACAAUCUGCUCCCAUCCACAGAUUUGUAUCAGAUUUGUCAACUCAAAACCACGGAAAUCAUCUAACCGGACCUGUCUCUCUGGUAUCAUGCCCCAAUGGCAUAUUAUGUUCUCAUAUCGAGCUAAUGUUUUUGCAUCACGGAAUCUUCGCACACUUCCUAUUAGCUCUAUGGUGCGGGCUGUGCUAGAGGAUGAACCAACUUUUUCUUUACCUUUUGAUGUUCUCUUCAGCGGCAUCCUACACAAAUAGGGAACGAAGUGUAUCAAGUUCUUGAAAUAAGAAAACGAUAAAGAAUAUCAUUGUCAUGCACAAAUCCCCCAAACUUUCUUCAAAAUGUGUUCAAUAUUCAACACAUGGAAGUUAAUGUAACAUCAAUAUUGUAUUAAUGAGAAAAACUCAAAACUAUGGCUCUAACAUGCAUUUUUUUAAAAUUCGACUCAUGAUUAAGUGACCAAGUUUAGCCCCGAGCAUCACCGAGAAAUAUUAAAAUUUCCCCGGACAAGGUCCGGGCAUAUGAAAGUACUCAUUGUGGUCUAGCAUAUAUCCAAAUUUCACUACAAUCGGAGGUCAUUUGGUUAGGAAAAUACAUGGACGAAGUUAGUGACGUGAGUUGACAUGGUUUAGCAAUUUAUGUGGUUAUGUGCACAAAUAUGUGAGGCUAAUGUUUUCUAAUGAAAUUCCAUGAGAUUUCUCGUCUAGUACGCCUCACAUUAACAAGAUAAAUCAUCACACAAAUGAAAAGUUCAAAAUUUCGAAUUAUAUGUCUCAUUGACAUUUAAUCAAACACGUUGUGUGCAUUGGGAAUUUCCUUCACUUUGUUUUUGAUUUACACUUAGAGCUAGUCCACAAAUCACAAUUCAACACUUACCCAAUUCGAAAAUGGCAAUAAAAUCAAAGAAUAGCUUCAAACUUUGCAUAGAAAGUAAAUUUCUUACCUUUAGAGUUUUGUGAGAUGAAAUUGGAGAGUAUGCUUCAAAAUUUCUUAAUAUCAAUCCUAAUGACGAGAAAAAUGCGGUGCUAGGGUGAAGGUUUGAUGCUUGGUGGAGUGAUUGUGCUCGUGUGAAGGUGAAUUUGGGGAGAAAAAAAUAUAUGUGUUCGGGUGGAGGUGUUUUUGGGGAGGGGAGGAGGGGGGUGAAUUUGCAAGUGACGGGUUAAUAACCCGUCACUUAUGCACCAUGCGGCCGCAUGGUGUAAUUCAAAAUUCCUACCUAGUUUCAGUAGGGGUCCAUGCGACCGCAUGGACAAGGCCCAAUUUUUUUUUUUUAAAACUAAAGCAAACUUACAAUUAUAACCCCAAACACACCUUGAAUUUAUUUUUUUAAAUUAAAGCAAACUUACAAUUAUAACCCCAAACACACCUUGAAAUUUUUUUUUUAAAUCUCGAAAAAUAAAACGAACGACUUUGAACCACGAAAUUCUUUACUUCACACUCAAAUACCCAAAACACUUUCUUUAAGCCCGACUCAUGCAACUAUAAACGUGUAGUGCCUAGACUAUCAUGAGUAAAUGAUCGAUGACCUAAUAAAAUAUACGAAAUGUAAACAAAUUUCUAAACAAAUGCAAUAAAAUAAAUUGAAGGAUACAGUGGGUUGCCUCCCACCCAACGCUAGUUUAUAGUUGAUAGCUCGACUUUCCUGCAUCUUCUUCAUGUUGGGUUGUUGAGUUGCACAGUGGACUUCUGCUUAGAGAAAUUACAGCCCCAAUAAUGUUUCAGUCUUUGCCCAUUGACGAUGAAAGUGCCUUUGGUCUCGUGACUCACUUCAAUAGCCCCAUAUUGCAUCACCUUAGUUAUGGUAUAGGGACCCGACCACCUUGUUCUUAGCUUUCCUGGGAAGAGUUUGAGUCUAGAAUUGUACAAUGACACUUUCUGGCCAACUUCAAACUCUCGCCUCUGAAUGUUUAAAUCAUGCCAUCUCUUGGUGCGCUCCUUGAUCAACUUUGAGGUCUCGUAAGCUUCCAUUCUUAUCUCAUCCAAUUCAUUAAGUUGCAGCAGUCGUUUUUCACCAGCAGCCUUGAGAUCCAUAUUCAACUGUUUCAUAGCCCAAUAUGCUCGAUGCUGUAACUCCAAUGGUAGAUGACACGCUUUCCCAAAAAUCAGGCGGUAUGGAGACAUUCCUAUUGGUGUCUUAAAUACUAUUCUGUAAGCCCACAGUGCAUCGUCCAUCUUCUUAGACCAAUCUUUUCAGGAUGAGUUCACUGUAACUUCUAGUAUUCUUUUUAAUUGCCUGUUCGAAACUUCAACUUGCCCAUUGGUUUGUGGAUGAUAUGGAGUUGCUACUUUAUGUUUCACCCCAUAUUUGUUCAACAGCUGCUCUAAUUGACGAUUUAUGAAGUGUUUGCCCCCAUCACUUAUUACUGCCUUCGGUGUACCAUAUCUUGUAGAUAUGUACUUCUUCAAGAACUCUAUCACCACUUUCGCGUCGUUAGUAGGCAAUGCAACAGCUUCCACCCAAUUAGAGACAUAGUCAACGGCCACCAAGAUAUAUUGAUUUGAGUACGAAGGGGGAAAAGGUCCCAUGAAGUCUAUUCCCCAUACAUCAAAUAUUUCAACCUCCAAGAUGUAAUUUAGUGGCAUCUCAUUUCUUCUUGAGAUAUUUCCGGUUCGUUGACAUUUAUCGCAUCUCUUCACAUACUCGAACGUGUCUCUGAAUAAAGUAGGCCAAUAGAAAGCCGAUUGUAGUAUCUUUGCAGCCGUCUUUGAAGCUCCAAAAUGCCCAGCAUAUGCAGAAGAGUGACAAUGUUCUAGAAUCUGAGGUACUUCAUCUUCAGGAAUACAUCUUCUGAUUAUCUGAUCUGCGCCUCUUCUGUAGAGAAUGGGAUCUUCCUAAAAGUAAUACUUCAGCUCUGCGAAGAACUUCUUUCUUUGAUGGCUAGAAUACUCUGGUGGCGGGAUGGACUUAGCAAGGUAGUUAACAAUAUCAGCGUACCAUGGGACUAUUUCUACUCUAAAAAUUUGCUCAUCUGGAAAGAUUUCAUUGAUGUCAACUGACAUCUCAAGUUCAUCCCGUUCCAAUCUUGAUAAGUGGUCGGCUACCACAUUUUCACUGCCCUUCUUAUUCUUGAUCUCAAUAUCGAACUCUUGCAACAACAAUAUCCAACGGAUCAAUCUCGGCUUAGCAUCCUUCUUUGUCAUAAGAUACUUCAAGGCGGCAUGAUCUGUGUAGACGAUGACCUUAGACCCAACAAUAUACGAUCUGAACUUGUCGAAUGCAUAAAUCACAGCUAGCAAUUCCUUCACGGUCGUCGCAUAGUUGAUUUGGGCGUCGUUCAAAGUUCUACUUGCAUAGUAUAUCACAUGAAAGAUUUUAUUCUUUCUUUGUCCCAAUACCGCACCAACUGCAUGAUCACUCGCAUCACACAUUAGUUCAAAGGGCAAAUCCCAAUCAGGUGACACAAUCACAGGCGCUGUUGUGAGUUUUUUCUUCAAAGUAUUGAACGCUAUCAAACAUUCCUCAUCAAACUCAAAAGAUACCUCUUUCAUUAGCAAGUUGCACAGAGGCUUGGUGAUUUUGGAGAAGUCCUUUAUAAAUCUCCUGUAAAACCCUGCAUGCCCAAGGAAACUUCGAACUCCUUUUACUGAUGUAGGUAGUGGUAAUUUCUCAAUAACCCAAAUUUUCGCCUUAUCCACCUCUAUCCCCUUUGUCGAUACUCUAUGUCCCAAGACUAUUCCCUCUUGAACCAUGAAAUGAUAUUUCUCCUAGUUCAAUACUAAGUUCGUUUCUUUGCAUCUUUGCAAAACCAAAUUUAAGUGAUCCAAACACUCAUCAAAUGAGGUCCUAAAGACCGAGAAGUCAUCCAUAAAGAUUUCAAUGAAUUUCUCUACCAUAUCUGAGAAAAUUGCCAUCAUGCAUCGCUGAAAUGUGGCAUGAGCGUUGCAAAGUCCUAAUGGCAUUCUUUGGUAUGCAAAGGUACCAUAGGGGCAUGUGAAGGUGGUCUUCUCCUGAUCAUCCGGUGCCACUAGUAUCUGAUUAUAACCCGAAUACCCAUCCAUAAAGCAGUAGUGGGAAUGACCUGCCAAUCUCUCCAACGUCUGAUCUAUAAAUGAAAGAGGGAAAUGAUCUUUCCUUGUAGCGGUAUUUAGUUUGCGGUAAUCAAUGCAAACUCUCCACCCUGUUACCGUCCUUGUCGGAAUCAACUCAUUCUUUUCAUUCUGAACCACUGUAAUUCCUCCUUUCUUGGGCACAACUUGCACUGGACUAGUCCAUUUACUAUCUGAUAUCGGGUAGAUUAUUCCAGCAUCCAGAAGCUUGAUCACCUCAGCUCUUACUACCUCCUUCAUGUUUGGGUUUAGCCUUCUUUGAGUUUCAACUGUUGGUCGAAAACUCUCCUCCAUGAGAAUUUUAUGCAUACAUAAGGAAAGGUUGAUCCCUUUGAUAUCAGCUAUGGUCCACCCAAUUGCUUGCUUGUUAUCUCGAAGCACCUUAAGCAGUUUUUCCUCCACCAUUUCACUAACCAUGUUUGAAAUUAUCACUGGAAGUGUAUUAGACUCCCCCAAAUAUGCAUAUCUUAAGUGUGGGGGCAGCUGCUUAAGUUCCAACUUUGGUGGCUUCAGAAUAGAUGACUGUGAUUUCUUUGGCCCUGUCCCAAGCUCAUCAAAGUAUCGUUUCCGCGUGUAAGGUAGGUUGGACUCCAAAAAUCUUGCACACAUUUCUAUGUCUUCAGAAUCAGAAUUCAUGGAUUUAGAAUGUGCAAUGCAUGCCUCCAAUGCAUCUGAUGGAUUUUGCAGUGUAAAUGACUCUUCAAUCAUUUUAUCAAUCAUGUCAACCCUGAAACAUCUGUUAGUCUCUAUUGGCAGUUUCAUGGCCUUGAAGAAAUUGAAUGAAACCUGUUCUUCUCCCAAUCUCAGUAUCAACUACCCAUUCUGAACAUCGAUCAAAGCUCUGCCUGUGGCCAAGAAUGGUCUGCCCAGUAUUAAAGGAACAUCUUUAUCUUCCUCCAUAUCCAGAAUCAGAAAAUCUGCUGAAAAUAUGAACUUCUCCACUUUAACCAAUACGUCUUCAAUUAUUCCUUGUGGAUGUGUCAAUGAUCUGUCAGCCAGCUGUAAGGUCACCGUGGUAGCUUUAGCUUCUCCCAAUCCUAAUUUCCUGAAAACAGACAAUGACAUUAAAUUAAUACUUACACCAAGAUCACAUAAAGCUUUAUCAAAAUACAAUUCACCAAUGGUACAAGGGACAGUGAAACUCCCUGGAUCUUUCAAUUUUGGUGGGAGCUUUCUCUAAAUCCUGGCACUGCACUCAUCUGUUAGCAUAACUGUCUCGUGAUCUCCUAACUUCCUUUUGUUUGAUAGGAUGUCUUUCAGGAAUUUUGCAUAGCUAGGCAUCUGAACCAGUGCUUCAGCGAAUGGGAUGUUGAUAUGGAGCUUCUUGAAGACUUCGAGAAACUUCUUGUAUUGCUGUUCCAUCUUUUGCUUUUUCAGCCUUAGUGGGAACGGUAUGGGUGGCUCAUAGGGGUUCACAGCUACAGUUUCUUUAUCCCUUGAGUUUCCUUUAUUUGCUCUCGGUGUUGGCUCUUCUGUCUGUUCUUCUUGCUCCAAAAUCUUUUCUACUUCAGGAGACAUCUCUUCUCUGUUUGCCACGGGAUUAUUCACUUGUCUCUCAGGUAAUUCCACUCCACUUCUCGUUGUUAUAGCCUUUGCAUGUUCUUUCGGAUUGACUUCUGUGUUACUUGGCAGGCUGCCUGGUGCUCUACCUAUUAAUGCAACUGCCAUCUAUCCCAUCUGAGUUUCCCAAUUCUUAAUGGCUACAUUCUGGUCCUGAAGAGUGGCUUCUGUCUUUCUCAUGAAUUGGUUGUUCGCCUCCAUAUAUUGGUUGGUCUGUUCCAUGAAUUUGCCGAACAUUUCUUCCAAUUGAGGCUUCUUCUCUUGAUGUUGAUAUUGCCACUGUAGCCUAUUCUGAUUUUGGUUGCUCCAAGAAAAGUUGGGGUGUUUUUUCCAGCUUGGGUUGAAGGUCUCUCGAUACGCGUUAUUCUGCUGGCAUUGUUCCCAUUGAACAAAAUCUGUUUGCUCUUUUCCUUGUGUCAAAAUUGGACAUUCUGCUGUCAUAUGCUCAGCUCCACAUUCCUCACAAUUUGCCUUCUUUGUCUAUGCUGAGUUAGCUGAUUGGGUAAUGUUUUCUACCUUGUGAAAUUAGGAAUCAAUCUUAACAGAUAACGCUGAAUAUACAUCCACUUUAUAAACUCCUGGGGUCUUCUUUGGUACUGCUCGUUCCAUGGUCCGCAUUGCUGAGGUUGUAGCCAUUGCCUCACAUAACUUCAAUGCUUCAUCAAUUGUUUUUGUGGACAAUGACCCAUUAGCUGAAGAGUCGACCAUGCUCUUGAAAGCUGGAAAUAGCCCUGCAUAGAAAUAUUGGACCUGAAGUCCCUUGCUAAUCUCGUGGUGCGGACACUUCCUUAGUAGAUUUUUGAAUCUAUUCCAAGCCUCAUCAAAAUUCUCAGAUUCACCUUGCCUGAAGAUAGAUAUGUCGUGCUUUAGCUUUGCAAUCUUGGCCGGUUGGAAGAAUUUAGUACAGAACUUCUGAGCUAGGUCAUUCCAGGUAGUAAUGCUGGCUAUCGGCUGAGAAUCAAGCCAUUCAAUCGCUUUGUCCAGCAAAGUAUGUGGAAACAGUCUUAAUCUUAUGGCAUUGUCAGAGAUUCCUUGAUAUCUGAAGUGCUGGCACAUCUCUAAGAAGCGCGAGACGUGCGUGUGCGGAUUCUCUUCAAUUCUUCCAUAAAACUGAUGUUCGUUCUGGAACAAUUGUAUCACAUUUGUCUUCAACUGGAAAUUUGGCUGCCCGAACGAUGGAUACACAAUGCUGGACUGGCUUUGAAUGAUUUGAGGGGUCAUGAACUCUCCAACGAGCAUGUUUCCUUCGUCUUCUUCCCCUCUUUCAUUGUUUUGUACAACAGGAUUGUGUUGAACGUUCUCUAUCUGAUUUCUCCCUGCUCUGUUUUCUCUCUGCCUUCUUCUGAAGCUUCAUUUGAUCUCUGGGUCAGCUGAGAGUAGAUCUCCUUCAGCAGAUCUUGGCAUGUACUUCUGCAAUAGAAUUCAAUUUAAAGACUUAAGUAACUAAAAUAUGCACUUAUGUAAUAAAACUAACUAGCAAUAAAAUAAAAUGAACUAAAAUAAAUUAAAAAUAAAAAGUUUGAAUUAGUGCUAAAUUGAAUAAAAUUAAAUGAAUACUCAAUCCCCGGCAACGGCGCCAAAAACUUGUUCAUGAAAUAAUUCUUUCGAUUUAAAACUACCGCAAGAAUACAGUUCGUAACAAGUAAUAAAGUGGAUUUUAAUAAGUCCGAAUAUCGUCCCUCAGAGAUUGAGUAGUUCAAUUCUAUAUAAUCUAGCCUUAACCGAAUCUAAUUGAGUGAAAAUAUGGUCUAAAUGCAAAAAGCUUUAAUUUCAAUUAAAAAUCCUAAUUUCACUAAAAACCCUAAUUUCUAUUGAAAACCCUAAUUUCUCAAUUAGAAACCCUAAUUUUGAAAUUUCUCUAAUUUAAACGACACAAACACUCAAGUAAAUGAAAUUAUGCAAAUUCAAAAGCUAAUUUAUGGAAAUGAAUCAAACUAAAGUCACUAGGAUCACGAAUCCCCAAUUGAAGUUAUAAAAACCCUAAUUUCACAAAAUUAAUGAUCCGAUGGAAAUUUGCCAAUUCAAUGUUUCUAAUUCUAUCCAAUAUAUUCUCUCGAUAUAUAUUAGACCUAUUCUUGCACACCACCAGCCUAUAUCUCUAUGGAUGAUGCAAAUAUACAAGAAUGCAUGUAGUUUUGUGAACAAUUAAAGAAUUGCAUAAAGCAUAGGGGUAUAUCUCUAUCCCCUAUCGGACCCUAUGUUAAUUUACACCUUAUCGAACCUAUUCCACUUCUCUCGAAUGUAAGAAAUAAGUCAUCAACACUCACACAAUCAUUGGCCACUAAUUGCGGAAGAAAAUUAAUGCAUGUAAACCAAUCAAAUUAACCAAACGAGUCUUUAUAUUAAAUUCAUGAAAUAUGAAAUUAAAAUAACAAACAACGGUUUAUCGAUCACCUAAUAAUUGAAAACUUAGCCUAGAAUAUUCAUAAUUACAGAAAAAACGAAAUUAAUAAAUAGAAAGAAUAGCACCCGUAUGAAAAUUCCUUGAAUUCUUGAAUAAAACCUUGAAAACCCGCUUGAAUCCUUGUGAAAUCGGCUUCAAGUUCGUGUUUCUUGCCUCCAAAAGUUAUAUUUUUCUUCUCCUUGGACGUUCUGCCCUAUUUCUGAUGAAUUUUGGCUUUUAUACCAUGUCUUCACGGAGCCCCGAAGGAGUUUUAAUUGAAAACGGAAGUUCAGAAUGCUCGUCGGAUUUUUAAGCCAUGCGGGCGCAUGGUGUUAACCGAUGCGACCGCAUGGUUCAAGUGAUAUGCCCCAAAUAAAUCCCUGCUAGUUCAUGUGCGGCCGCAUGGUAUUGUUACAUGCGGUCGCAAGGUUGUAACUUUACAACCUUGCUAUUUUGGUCCCUGAACUCCGUUUUCUCUUUUCUUGAUCUCUUUUCUUUCUUUCCUUUAUUCCAUUAUCAAAUACUGACUCCUAAUUGAUGUUUGGGUCAAUCAAUUCCUUGAUCACUUGUUCGGCUCAUCUUUUGAUUAAUUACAAUUUAGUCCUUCAUCUUUCACUUUUCUUCAAUUCAGUCCAAUGGUACUUCUUUCUUCCUCUGAUCGUCUUGUAUCGUCCUCAAUCUCAUACUUGGCAUAUUUUCAUUCUAGUUCUGCACUUUAGCUCAACUUUCCAAUAUUUGCACCUUUGGUCCCCGAACUAUCGCUUUGUUUCGUUUUGGUCCUUUUUCGGCUCCUUUCUUCUGAAUUUCAUCUUUUCCAUAGAAACACCUACAUUGCAUGAAUUUAACGAGAUUAAGUCACAAUUCAACAACUUUGUCCAUAUUUAAGUCAUGUUUGUGAGCUAAAUAAGUGUGUAAAAACACACUUAUCACUUAUAAUGGUUUUGGAAACCUUAACAUUUAAUAUGGUUUCGAGUUUACAAAUAAAGGAUUUGACUUCAUUACAUUCUUAUUUAUUUGUAGUGUACAAUGUUUCUGGAUUUACUCUUUAAAAUUUGGAAAGAAUUUUAUACAGUAAUUGUAAUUGUCUUGUGAAGAUUGCUUGGUGGUGGAUACUGAAUACCAUACCGCGGCAGCUCUAUGCUUGUUUGAAUUUAGGGCCAGGCAAAACUCCUAAAUCGAACAAUUCUUCUUAAAUUAAAUAUCCGAAUGGAUUUCUGAAUCGAGAACCGACGUGUCCGGUUCCGUUCUCGAUUCUAGAUCAAGAAUUAAAUCUUCCUAAUUUUUUUAAUUUAUUUAUUUUAAUUAAGUCAAAUUAUUUUAUUUUUUCUAAGUAAAUUUGCUAACUAAUUAAUUUAGUUCAAAUCCAAAAAUAUGAUUUUACUAUUUCUAAUUUUUAGUACAAGCCCAAUUUAAUCAAGUUGACUUAAAUUUUACCCAAAUCUAUUAUUUUAUUGUAGUUACAAUUCUACUGUUCUAGAUAAAUCAAAUUGAAGCUUGACAACUCAUUUCUUAAUCAUUGUAAGCUCAUUAUCAUCAUUAUCCUGUGAUUUUAAAAUCAAAUAUAUGAAGAGCUCAGCAAACAGAGAUGCAAAAGACAUAUAAAAUUGGAUUACGUUAUUUUGUUAGAGUUAAAAUUGAAUAUGUCAUUAGUUGAAUUAAUAUAACUUUGUAAAUAUUAAAAAAAUUAAUUAUAGUACAGAACAUGGAAAUUAAACCGAAAUCGAAUGAAAUUGAAUCCAAACGGUUCCGUAAUUAAAUGUGGACCCGACGGUUCCACUUACUAAAUAUCCAAAAAUUUCGGGUUCGAUCUGGUUCUAAAAAUCAAAUCGAACCGAACCAGACCAUGCUCACCCUUAUUUGAAUAUGUGAAGUUCCAUUUUUCCACAUAAAAAUUGUUCUACUCACUGUCGGCAAAGUUUUAGAGGAUUUUUAGAACUGAAUAUUUAAUGCACUUAAUACAUGCUUGAUAUCUAAAUAAGAUAGUAAUGUGACAAUUUGUCCCUUAUCGUGUCUAUUAUACUCAUAUUUACCAAUUAAAUUUGAAGUAGAUACUUGUUUCGCGGGGGUAGUCGCUAACAAUUAAAAAAGGGGAUAAAACGAUUGUGUAAAGAACAGACCUUUUGAGACAAAGUCCCAAAAAGGGGUGUUUUAUUGGCGAUGAUUUACAAUUGAAAAUAAACAGAAUGCCUCCAAGGGAAGCAAGCACACGAGUACUAAAAGAAGUGUUUAAAUUUAAGCUUAGAAAUUAAAAUUACAUAUUCUCUAUUUGAGAGUGUUUUUUAUUCCCUUUUUUUUCUCUACGUCUUCUCUUCCUUUUUAUAUUCCCUUGAUGAUUUCCUCGUGACAAACCGUUUGAAAACUGCUUGAUCGCUUUAUAACUACCCACUUUCUUUAUGGUGGCUAACUUGUCGUGGAACUGCCGUCUCUAACUGCUGCCAUUAUUCUUUGUCGUUCAAUCGCUUUCAACUGGGCUCCUUGAAUCGUGGAAUGUGAUAAAAUUACUCAAUAACUGCUUCAAUAAUUGCUAUUCUGGAUAACCAUAAUAUUUUAUGUUUGUUAAGAUCCUGGGCGAUUCGAAGGUUUGGGCGAGAACGGGGUCAUCGCUCUGGGCGACCGUAAGGUACUCCAUUUGCUCAGAUUCUGGGCGUCUUGCAAGCUUGGACGAUGAUAUUACUGUAUUCGUGGGCUUCCACUGUAUUCAUCAAUAAUCCUGUUUGGACCUUUAUCCUGGACUCCCCAAUUGAGCUUCACUCUUUGGACUAUUUGAUUUGUGCUGCACUUUUAGUGUGUCAACAAUUACCCCCCAAUAUGACAUAAUUAAUUCCAAUUAUUAAUUUUUGUCAUAUUCACUUUGUAUUUUCCAGCAACAUUUGAAAUUCCCAAGAAUUUCAAUUAUUAUUUCCUUCUAUAGCUUGAAAAGGUGCAUCGUUACAAACUCUUAUAAACCCAAAAGACACGCCAUUUCAUCGCACCACUAAACUACGUCUCUAUAUUUCGCGCUUCCUCCUCACUAUUUUACUGUUCAUCUUCUUGCUUCUCUGCUACGUUUCUCAGGCAGAUCUUAACAAAACUGUACUUUGCACCUAAUGGCGACUUCACAAACUUUAUAUGAUGAUUCUUUUAGUUUCGAAGAUUUCCAGAAAAUCCUUACUAGGCCAUAUGUAAAUCCAAACUUCCUUGCACCAGCCAAUGCUGACCUCAAUGAAUUCUAUCUGGGUCCAUCAUUCAAUAAUGCCGAAGCUGUUGGACAAGUGGCGGUGGGCCAGCUGUUUCCUUGCACUCAAAACCCUCCGUUCCUGAACUCUCUGCCAUUGUGGCCGAUUCGCAAAAAAGGUAUUCGCACUUGGCCCAAAGCUGAUGUUAUUUUUCAUAGAUGGCAUGCACGUCUUGUGAAUCAUGACCCUACCAAGGCGAUUUGAUCGUGCUAGGAUUUCAGAUUUAUUAGAAAUCGCUCUUUAACCCCCAAUUUUCGACCCAGUGCUUUUUUCUAUUGCUUUGAGUUUUUGGUCUUUUGAAUAUAAUACCUUCGUUUUCCCUCUUGGUCCCGUGUCUAUUACUUUAAGGGACUUGGAGCCCUAGUAAAUCUUCCGCGUUUGGGUGAUACCAUCUUUCCUGGUAUCUUGAUUUCCAGUGUUGGCUCGAAAUUUGACAAGAAACUUACUGAGUCCUAUUCAAGCAUGCAAGGCUUUUAUAAUCAUUCAAGUGUUGAACCUUCCCACACUGAGUGUGUGGCCUUUCUUCAAAUUUGGCUCUGUAAAUAUAUUCUCUGCGUGCCAAGUAUGAAACCUUCUAUGAGCUACUUACCUAUAGCGCAUGAAUUGGCGUAUGGUAGGCCUUUGAACUUACGUUCCUUCUUUUUAGCUACCCUUUAUAGAGGCAUGACUUCCCUUCAAUCUCAACUGAAGAAUGAUGCAUCUCCCACUGACAGUGGGCCUCUUUGGUUCACUCAACUGUGGUUGAGAGCAUACUUUCCACCACUUGGUGCUCCAUCCAUUUCUCUUCGUUCUGCUAGCUGUUAUGGGCUAGCCAUUGACUCAUUGAAACAUGUAAAUAUGUCCAGUAGGGACACUUUUUCAUUCAUUUAUACCUUAAAUUUGAUUCCUUCCUUCUUUCCUUUUUCCUGCUCACUUGACUCCAUAUUAUGUGCAACCUCCAUCCACCCUGGACUGUGCGAGCGACUCUCUGCUUGUUUGGGUUCAGUUUUUGAUUGGGAGGAAAUUGUUCCACGAUAUUUUAACUAGAACCAAUGCCAAGGCUGGGGUUGAAAUAUAUGCUCCCCAAUUUUUUGCUCGCCAACUUGGUUUUGGCCAAACUUGGCUUGUUCCUCCUUGCUACUCCAAAAAUUUGACAGAUUGUUUUCACACUAUUAAUAAGGUAGAAGCACAAGCUGUAGAUGCUCGCAACAUUCUUUUGAUGAGUAAAUUUUCAUUAGCUCCUUUCAAUUCUAGCCGUGCCGUCCAUCCUCUUUUUGAAUAGCUCUGGCCAUCAGUGAAACGCAGAUUGUUUGCAACUGAUGCUAAUCCUGCCUUCCAUUUGCUGGAUCAGCCAGACACUUCCUCUACUUCUCCUAUUUUGGUCACCCCUGUGUCCAUUAGGAAUCCUUCUUCCCAUACUCGCACUAAACAUCCUAUCCGUCCAUCUGCUUCUCCACCUGCCAAGGCUACUGCAGCUAAAGGUGCCUUAAGCAGCAAACGGCCAGCUUCAGCAUCUCCCAUUUUGCGGGAUGAUAAUGAUGAUGAUGAUGACGCUCCUCUCAUCCUUAGGAGAAAGGUAAUUGAAUUUGUUUAUUCACAAACAUACUUUUCUAUGUACUAAUGGUUUACCUAAAUUUCUCAGAAAAGUUCAGCCUCUCUUCGAAGGCUUUGAUUUUGGCAACUCCUGCUUUACCAUCUUCUGCUAAAGCUGCUUCGUCCAAAUCAGCUGAUGAAGGGACUAUGCUUAAAGAGAAACCCUUAGUCCGAAAAUCUUCAUCACAGCCAAUAGAAAGGCCACCUUCUUCCCAGGGAGCCGUUUCCCCAAAUGUCGAACCAGAAGAUAAUACAUAUUUUGAUGUUUUACCUUUGCUUGUGCUAUUGGUUUCUAAUUCGUUGUUUCUUGAAUUAUGUAGAGGCUCUAUGGGCCUGCCCGUUCUGGCAGAGUCUUCUUGCCCAGAUAAGGGGAAGUCCCCACAGGUGGUGGAGCCAACUGGUGAUAUGCUUGAACUUCCCAAGAUUGCUGAUGAGGUACCUUUUGCUUCACUUUCAUUUUCGCUUCGUUUAUUGUAGUGAAAGCCCUCAAUGUUGGCAUUUUUCUUUGCAGGGUGCUGAUGACAUUGUGCAUUCCAUCUAGGACUUGUUCACUUCCUGGGGACAAGUCAAGACGUAUCGCCCUACUUCAACCAGUCAUCCUUCUGCUUCAUCUUCUGCUUUUUCAGAGGAAAAUAUGAAGUCUCUCAAGCAGUCGGUACUUGAGUAUGUGUCUUUUAUGGACAUGGAUAUAGGGCAGGCUAGUGCUACUAAAAAUAAGGAUAAGUUUGAGCUAUUGAGUGCGAAAUUGGCGCAAGCACUUACACUUUUGUCGCUCAAUGUUUCUGCUGACUUUAAAGCGACAUUGAAGGUUGUCCACUUUGACAUCCUCCCCUUGCUAGCUAAAAAUGUUGAACUGAAGGCCAGGAGUACUCAAUAUCUUUGUUCUACAUCUGAAAGAGUCUCUGCUUCUAGAGAUUAACAAAGCCGAGGAUGAAUUGAAAGAAAUCUCUUCCGACGUUAUGAUCGAAGACUCUUUGAUGGUAAGCUUGGCUGUAGAAAUGAAGGAGUUUCAAGCAAAGAUGAAUGACUGUAGGGCGAGAAUGGCUGGUAAAAAGCGUAAUGCUUCCCAAGGAAUUGAACGAACCAAGUCUUUGGUUGAGCAGUAUAAAAAGCUGGAGGUUGAUGACGAUUUUGUAACUGAAUUAAAUGUCGCUUCUUCUCAACAGAGCGAAGAUUGGGGAAGACUUAGGGAAAGAAUACGUUUGGCUUGGGGUGAAUUGUAAUUAAGACAUCCAAUGCCUUAACUUUCCUUUUGUAAUUUCGCACUAAUUGUCACUGCUAAUUUUGAAUAUAACAGCAGCUAUCGUCAUUAAUGAACGAUUAUUUUGCCUACUUGCAUAUUAAUUGACGUUGUCCUUAAUCGUUAACCCCCCAAGCAUUUAAUUGUUUUAUGCUAAGAUUCAUGUACAUUCUUUCUUGGUAUUCCCGUUUCUUUUCCUCAGACUUUGGGCCAUUUGAUUUCAGUUAUUAGGCAUGAAUGUGGCUGUUCAUAUUCUGUCUUUUCACCUUCAUGCCUCUAUAAAUGCGCGUGUAUUUCGCACUUAUCAUUUUCAUUUCUAUUCUUUUCUUCAAAAACUAAUUUGCUGCCAUCGUUUGACAUCUCAACAAUUGAUCCAAAAUUUUCGUCUUUCAUAGAAAUAGAUCAUUUGAUCCGCCCAUUUUGCUAUCUGUCUUGAUGUCACCUUUGGUAUGGGAGAUACAGAAAAUAUUCUUUGGCCAGCAAAGGUCUUCCCAUCGUCUCCAUGUUUUUUAUAAGGAGUUCAAUGAUGGAAGGCGAUUUUUGAGGAUGCCUUUCAAGCCACUUUGCUUACUGAGAAUGCUUCUCAGUCUCCUUGCCCGUUAUUGCAGCAAUGCGAUUAGGCAGGUGAUUUGAGGGUUUUUUCUUCCUUUUUGCUUGUUAAGAGUGCUUCUCGGCCUCUCUGCCUGUCCUUGCAGCAGUACAAUUAGGAUGGCGAUCAAGGUCGGUUCACCCUCUUACUUGGCGAUAGACCGAGAAAUUAGUUUGCUCUCAAUUGUAGCUCAUAGAGCAUUUAGUGUUUUGUAUCUCAUAAUUUGUAAUGAAUAUUUGAUAACAAAGAAAUUUAUUUGAACGUAUUUCGUUCUUGCCUUAUUUAUCUACGAUCGUUCAGCUCAAUUAUAUUGAUUAUGCUUUUAUUUGUUCAUUUUCCCAUAAGGAAAGAACAUACUUUUUUAAAUAUUUGCCAUUAAUGAAUCUCAUGUGUUUGGUGCCAUCUAAACCUUCUAAAUGAUAGGCUCCAUUAGGCAACACACUAUUUACUUUAUAUGGCCCUUCCCAGUUGGGUGACCAUUUGCCAUACUUUGGAUCCUUGCUAUCCAAAGGGAGUAUUGUUUUCCAAACCAAUUCGCCCAGACUAAAUGACUUGACUAUAACUUUUUUAUUAAAAAACUUAGCCAUCAUUUGUUUUUGAACUUGCAAUCUAUCUAGGACGUCAAACUUUAAUUUGUCCAACUCCAAUAAGUUUUGAACUAGUGAUUUGGUAUACUCACCAUCACUUAACUUAUGUUGCAAAUACACUCUAAUUGAUUGCACAUUGAUUUUCAUAGGCAAAACGGCCUCCUGUCCAUAAGUAAGUUGAAAAGGAGUAACUUUGGUACUUGACCGAGGCGACGUCCUAUAAGCCCAUAAGGCCUUGUUUAGACAUUCGUGCCAAUUUCUGGCAUUUUCAUCUAUCAUUUUUCUUAUGAUAUUUUUUAGAAUCUUAUUAGAAGAUUCUGCCUGUCUGUUGGAUUGAGCGCAAUAUGAUGUGGAGUUCACUAACUUAACUCCAAACUCGCUCAAGAAUUCCUUCACUUGAUCUCCAUUCAAAGAAGUUCCGUGAUCUACCAUCAAAUUUUGUGAAAUCCCAAACCUAUAAAUAAUAUGACCACGGAUAAAUUCUAUGACACUCUUUUGGGUGAUCUCCUCUAAAGGUAUCGCUUCUACCCACUUAGUAAAAAAAUCAGUUGCAACUAUAACAAAGGUAUGUUGCUUGGACGAUGGGGGAUAAACCUUCCCUAUCAGAUCUAUCGCCCAACCCUUAAACGGCCAGGGUUUGAUAAUGGGUGACAUCUCUCUCACUGGCGCCCUUUGUAUUGGACCAUGCUUUUGGCAUGCUAGACAACUCUUCGCAUAUUGAACACAUGAUUCUCCCAUCUUGGGCAAAAAAUAUCCAUUCCUAAUAAUUAACCAUCCCAUCUUUUGGCCAGCUUGAUGAGCUCCAUAUAUCCCUUCAUGCACUUCAACCAUGAUUGUUCUGGCUUCUUGCAAACUUACACAUUUUAGUAAUAUACCAUCAGAGCGUUUCUUAAACAACUCUUCAUCUAUCAAUGUAUAGUUUAGCAAACGCAAUUUCAUUUUCCUACUACCUCCUUUAUUAGGUUCUUUAAGGAACCUUUUAAUCUCUGCCCUCCAAUCUAUUGCAUUUUCAUCUUGUAUGCAAUGAAUUUCAAUCCUUCUCGCCCUUCUUUGGACUACAGGUGAUAUUACUCCAUAUUCACAAGUAGAUUUCCAAUUUAAAGCCUUUGAAUACCCUAAGACCAUCUGGACCAACUCAUUUGCUAUGUCAUUAUAUAUCCUAUUAACACAUUGAAGCUCUAUUUGGUCGAAUUCUUCCAACAAUUCUUGGGCGAUUUCAUAUUGACUUAUAAUGGAAUCACUUCGGCAUUUAAAAUCACCGAUCAAUUGGUGAAUUACCAAGUGAGAAUCGCCUCUAACAAUCACAUUCUUUAUCUUCAUAUCUAUCAUUAAUUCUAAGCCCACAAUUAAGGCUUCAUAUUCGGCUUGAUUGUUGGUACACAUCCUAUCCAAAAUGAAUGCGAAUUUGUAACAAAUCCCUAAAAGAUUUAUCAAUGCUACUCCUGCUCCUGCACCUUUAGAGGUUUUUGACCCAUCGAAACAUAAAACCCAAGGUUUUAAUUCGAACGAAUCGAUUUCCAAUUCAAUUUCUUCAGGCAUGUAAAGGCAUGGAUGAUUGGCCAGAAAGUUAGCCAAAGCCUGAUUUUUGAUUGCCUUUUGGGGUAUGUAUUGUAUUUCGAAUUCUGAUAACGCUAAAGUCCAAAGGCCUACCCUUUGGUGUAAAAUAGGGCGAGAGAACAUAUACUUAACCAAAUUUACUUUAGAAAUCAAAUAAACGGUUAUGGGCCGUAAAUAAGCCCUUAAUUUCGUACAUGUGAAAAACAAUGCAAGACAUAAUUUUUCAAUAGCAGAAUAAUUACGUUCACAUUUUGUUAA
rnacentral:lncRNA from 1 species